ensembl:lncRNA
GAAAAUUCCAAUAUGGGGUGCAAAUGACCUUAUAGUUUUAAGCGUCCAAAUCUUUGCUAUGACCUCCCUUUUGACAAGAGAGAGAAAACUGGAAAUACUAUUUUCAAACAGACAGGUGACUUCUGAAGCUGAACGUUUACUGGUUACCCAACUUGCGUACACGCUGUCGACGUCGCUUGAAUAAGACGUCAUACAAGAAUUGUCAUAUUAGCAAGGCGUAUGGGUUGGGUGAGUCUCUUGGCGUCCUGGGUAGCUUGUGCCUGGUGGUAGUCGUAGUGCUGUUCCUAAUGCAGAGAUGGCGAAAAUGCAUUUGAUUUUAUCCACAUCUCUCUGUAUUGUUUAUGGGGUUAGUGUUGCCUUUACACACGACGCUUGGCGUGUAGGAACUUGAUCGCAGUAACGACGUUUGGUUUUGAAGAUCUAGAAGUUAGUUCAACACGUGGUACGGUCGCAUGUAUGCUGCAUCAAUUGAGUCGAUGUCCUGCACGAGGUUAAGAGCGCUGCACCAAAGCCAGGCUAUGCGCGUGAAUUGUCACAACAUAUAUGGCAUCACAGGCCAUAAGCAUGAAUCCGACAAACAUACUUGGAGCCAAUGCUACUUGCUGGCCAUAAGCAUGAAUCCGACAAACAUACUUGCAGCCAAUGCUACUGGCUGGCCAUAAGCAUGAAUCCGACAAACACUUGCAGCCAAUGCUACUUGCUG